CUCUACUUCAAGGACAAAUAGCCUGCUUCUAAAAUGAAUAGCAGGGAAUUUCUAUGGUUCCGGUUGCACGUAUGAGUUGAAGAUUUCAAUUUGGGUCGCAAGUAUGAAGACACUUGUUCGGGAAGCUAUUGUAUAUCACUUUCAUCUAUAGAAAUACAUGCAUUUUUGUUACUUUGAAACUUUUCUAAUUUUGUUUUACUUUCAAGUCUUUGUAAUUCGUAUACUUGGGUUAUUCUAUAUUGGUUUUAAUUUAA